rnacentral:rRNA from 1 species
GUCGAGCGGGCCCGUCGGGGUCUGCGGCGGACGGGUUUUCCCGCGUGGGAGAGUGAAAUACUGGUCUGGAAUAACCCUGGGAAACUAGGGCUAAUACCGGAUACACCCUUUUGGGAAAAGGUUUACUGCCGGAAGAUCUCGCCCGCGUCUGAUUACCUCGUUGGUGGGGUAACGGCCUACCAAGGCGACGAUUACUACCUGGUCUGAGAGGAUGAUCACCCACACUGGGACUGAGACGCGGCCCACACUCCUACUGGAGGCAUCAGUGGG